CCCCUCUACUUUAACAUGGGAGGUACUUGCUGGAUGCUUGAAAAAGUAAGUGCUUCCAUGUUUUAGUUGUGGUGAAUCCU
rnacentral:pre_miRNA from 2 species